AUUCCGGAGAGGGAGCCUGAGAAACGGCUACCACAUCCAAGGAAGGCAGCAGGCGCGCAAAUUACCCACUCCCGGCACGGGGAGGUAGUGACGAAAAAUAACGAUACGGGACUCAUCCGAGGCCCCGUAAUCGGAAUGAGUACACUCUAAACCCUUUAACGAGGAUCAAUUGGAGGGCAAGUCUGGUGCCAGCAGCCGCGGWAWUUCCAGCUCCWWUAKMRKABRUKWAAGUUGUUGCGGUUAAAAAGCUCGUAGUCGAAUUUGUGUCUCGCGCCGACGGUUCAUCGUCCGCGGUGUUAACUGGCGCGCAGCGGGACGUCCUGCCGGUGGGCUUAGCUCCCCGUUGUCGUGGUCCUGGCGAGCGGGCAGUAAUGCUCGUUCUCAGGUCGCCGCGGCAUUCGGCGGCGGCCCAACUCAAUCCCGCCGCGGUGCUCUUCACUGAGUGUCGAGGUGGGCCGGCACGUUUACUUUGAACAAAUUAGAGUGCUUAAAGCAGGCUAAAAUUUCGCCUGAAUACUGUGUGCAUGGAAUAAUGGAAUAGGACCUCGGUUCUAUUUUGUUGGUUUUCGGAACCCCGAGGUAAUGAUUAAUAGGAACGGAUGGGGGCAUUCGUAUUGCGACGUUAGAGGUGAAAUUCUUGGAUCGUC
rnacentral:rRNA from 1 species